UACGUAGGGUGCGAGCGUUGUCCGGAAUUACUGGGCGUAAAGAGCUCGUAGGUGGUUUGUCGCGUUGUUCGUGAAAACUCACAGCUCAACUGUGGGCGUGCGGGCGAUACGGGCAGACUGGAGUACUGCAGGGGAGACUGGAAUUCCUGGUGUAGCGGUGGAAUGCGCAGAUAUCAGGAGGAACACCGGUGGCGAAGGCGGGUCUCUGGGCAGUAACUGACGCUGAGGCACGAAGGUCAGGGGAGCAAACGGG
rnacentral:rRNA from 1 species